rnacentral:rRNA from 1 species
AGCAGCCGCGGUAAUUCCAGCUCCAAUAGCGUAUAUUAAAGUUGUUGCAGUUAAAAAGCUCGUAGUUGAAUUUCGGGAUCAGUACGCUGGUCGUGCCUUUGGUAUGUACUGGUGUCACUGAUUCCUCCCUUCUGAAGAACCGUUAUGCCAUUUAUUUGGUGUGGCGGGGAAUCAGGACUGUUACUUUGAAAAAAUUAGAGUGUUUAAAGCAGGCUCGCGCUUGAAUACAUUAGCAUGGAAUAAUGAAAUAGGACGUUUGAUUCUAUUUUGUUGGUUUCUAGGAUCGACGUAAUGAUUAAUAGGGAUAGUUGGGGGCAUUAGUAUUCAAUUGUCAGAGGUGAAAUUCUUGGAUUUAUUGAAGACUAACUACUGCGAAAGCAUUUGCCAAGGAUGUUUUCAUUAAUCAAGAACGAAAGUUAGGGGAUCGAAGACGAUCAGAUACCGUCGUAGUCUUAACCAUAAACUAUGCCGACUAGGGAUCGGAUGAUGUUAAUUUUUAAUGACUCAUUCGGCGCCUUAA